rnacentral:tRNA from 1 species
GGUUGUGGCUCAGUGGUAGAGCACUUGCCUAGCAUGGGUGAGGCACUGGGUUCGAUUCUCAGCACCA